rnacentral:tRNA from 1 species
AAAUAAGAAGCAAAAAAAUUGCAUUUAAUUUCGACUUAAAAAUUAGAGUUUUAUAUUACUCCUUAUUUA